rnacentral:rRNA from 1 species
CGAAGGAUGCAAGCGUUAUCCGGAUUCAUUGGGUUUAAAGGGAGCGUAGGCGGCCCGAUAAGUCAGUGGUGAAAUCUCUCGGCUUAACCGAGAAAUUGCCAUUGAUACUGUUGGGCUUGAGUACAGAUGCCGUUGGCGGAAUAUGACAUGUAGUGGUGAAAUACAUAGAGAUGUCAUAGAACACCGAUUGCGAAGGCAGCUAACGAAACUGUAACUGACGCUGAGGCUCGAAAGUGCGGGGAUCAAACAGGAUUAGAUACCCUGGUAGUCCGCACUGUAAACGAUGAUUACUCGCUGCUGGGAGGUAACUUUCAGUGGCUUAGCGAAAGCGAUAAGUAAUCCACCUGGGGAGUACGCCGGCAACGGUG